GAACGCUAGCGGCAGGCCUAACACAUGCAAGUCGAGGGGUAACAGGGAGAAGCUUGCUUCUCCGCUGACGACCGGCGCACGGGUGCGUAACGCGUAUACAAUCUGCCUUAUACUGGGGUAUAGCCUUUAGAAAUGAAGAUUAAUCCCCCAUAGUCUCUUAGAGUGGCAUCAUUUUAGGAGUAAAGGUUACGGUAUAAGAUGAGUAUGCGUUCUAUUAGUUUGUUGGUGAGGUAACGGCUCACCAAGGCUACGAUAGAUAGGGGCCCUGAGAGGGGGAUCCCCCACACUGGUACUGAGACACGGACCAGACUCCUACGGGAGGCAGCAGUGAGGAAUAUUGGACAAUGGAGGCAACUCUGAUCCAGCCAUGCCGCGUGCAGGAAGACUGCCCUAUGGGUUGUAAACUGCUUUUAUAUAGGAAGAAACCUACUUACGUGUAAGUAGCUGACGGUACUAUAAGAAUAAGGAUCGGCUAACUCCGUGCCAGCAGCCGCGGUAAUACGGAGGAUCCAAGCGUUAUCCGGAAUCAUUGGGUUUAAAGGGUCCGUAGGUGGAUAAUUAAGUCAGAGGUGAAAUCUUGCAGCUCAACUGUAAAAUUGCCUUUGAUACUGGUUAUCUUGAGUUAUUAUGAAGUAGUUAGAAUAUGUAGUGUAGCGGUGAAAUACAUAGAUAUUACAUAGAAUACCAAUUGCGAAGGCAGAUUACUAAUAAUCAACUGACACUGAUGGACGAAAGCGUGGGUAGCGAACAGGAUUAGAUACCCUGGUAGUCCACGCCGUAAACGAUGGUUACUAGCUGUUUGGACCUUGUGUCUGAGUGGCUAAGCGAAAGUGAUAAGUAACCCACCUGGGGA
rnacentral:rRNA from 1 species